rnacentral:rRNA from 1 species
UACAGAGGUCUCAAGCGUUGUUCGGAUUCAUUGGGCGUAAAGGGCUCGUAGGCGGCCAACUAAGUCGGAUGUGAAAUCCCCAGGCUCAACUUGGGAACUGCAUCCGAUACUGGAUGACUUGAAUUCGGGAGAGGGAUGCAGAAUUCCAGGUGUAGCGGUGAAAUGCGUAGAUAUCUGGAGGAAUACCGGUGGCGAAGGCGGCAUCCUGGACCGACAUUGACGCUGAGGAGCGAAAGCUAGGGGAGCAAACGGG